rnacentral:rRNA from 1 species
UUGGAGGGCAAGUCUGGUGCCAGCAGCCGCGGUAAUUCCAGCUCCAAUAGCGUAUAUUAAAGUUGUUGCAGUUAAAAAGCUCGUAGUUGAAUUUCGGGAUCAUCAGGUUGGUCGUGCCAUUGGUAUGUACUAGCUUUGGUGGUUCCUACCUCUUGAAGAACCGUAAUGUCAUUAACUUGGUGUUGCGGGAAUCAGGA